CUGGGCUUGGAGAGGAAGUGGAGGGAGGGCCAGGGCUGGGACAGCCUCCACAGGAUGCUCAGGACAGGGGCACAAAGACAUACGUGCAAGUGGAAUUCCCUUUAAGGCUAAAUGGCAAUUCCAAGACAUGCUUGGAUUUUUUAGAGGUGGGGGAAUUGAGACGAGAAAAGAGACAUUAAAAAUAAAAUAUUCUAAGAAAGCUGUUUUAUUUAAACGAAUCCCAAAUUAGCACAUUAUACUUCAGUGCAUAUGCCACUUUUAUAAAAAUAACAUAAUCCCAUGUAACCGGUAUUCCAAGGUAAGAAUUGUUAACAUUUUGCUACAGUUACUUAAGAUCUAGUUUUCGAAAUAAAAUAUGACUAAUAGCUUAAGUCCUCCUCCCAUGCCCACUCUCCCUCUUUAAAGAUUCCUCGGGCCUGAGAUGCGUGGGAGACUUUUGUUCCCAUGGUGACGCUGCAGCUCCUCCACCCCCACGCCUGUAGACACCACAAAAUGUUGCUGUUUGUUUUUAAAUUCCAUUGUCAGCAUCAUCCUUCUGUAUCCCCGCCCCCAAGGUUACACUUUUAGGAGGCACUCAAGUUGGUACAAGUAGAAUGACUUCAUCCCCUUUCGCCCCAGGGGACAUUCUGUUCCCUGAAAUAUGCCACGAAUUCUUUAUCCAGGCCUGGAGUGGUGGCCGUGGAGGAGGCUUGCAGUCUUGCACUCCUGCAAACCAUGCUCCAGGGCUGCCUCGUCCCCGCUUCCCCAACACCUGUGUGCUGGGUGCCAGGGAGCACGCACCUUCUGCGCUUUCAGAUGCGGCCAAAUGUCUCCCGAAUUUCUCUAUAGAAAUUUAAGCUGCACCGCAGGGAGAGUUUGAACAGGGCACAUCCUAGGCCUUUCUGGGUGCCAUCGAUUGGUGUGAAGAGGCAUCUGCUGUUGUCUAGAGAUAGACAACCAGUGAAUGUGCGCAUUCUCAGGCGUCUCCUCUGCGUGGAGGGCUGCCCCAUCCCUGCCCCUUUAUUUCCCUGGGUGCCUCGUCUUCACCCAUUGGCAGUCAGAAUUCCUCCUGGUGCUGUAGAACAGUCUCUGUUAUUUACAUGUGCGGCAAAUAUCUUCUCCCCCGUUGCGGUUAGCAGUUUAUGUUUUGUCCAAGAGAAGUUUUUACUUUUAACACACUCAAAUGUAUCCAUUUUUAAAAUUUCUGCAUUCCCAGCCAUAUUAAAAAAUAAAAAUAAAAAGCAAAGAAAGCAAAACCCAACCCUCCCCUCCCGCUGCCUAUAUACUCCAGGGGUGUAGGAUCCUGCAGAAGGAUUUGGGAAGGAGGAGUUCGGUGUGUGCCUGGCCAUGUGCUGCCGAGCCCCUGGUCAGGGCUAGCAGUUUCGGGCACACACGCCGAAUUUACAGUUGGCAAAGGGUAUUCAACACGGCCUCAAGACAAACGCUCUUUAGAGCCUCGCUGGUUGGAUUAAAAUAAUUGUAAAAACACUCGAGGAAUUAUUUUCUUUUCUCCAGUGUUUCUUGCGAGCGAGGAGUCCUAUCUGCUUUCGUCGGGAUGGAGCUGACCCCUGCACUCUUCGCAGCCUCCUGGGUGACCGCACACCCCGCGACCCGCACCCCGCACCCCCGCCGAGGCCAGCACCGAGGUGCGCUCUGGUGUUUAAACAGAAGAUUGCAGAGCCACGGAGGAGCUGCUGGAGGGACGGAGGGUUGAGGGAGCUAAGUUCUGCUGAAGACUGUCUUGUAAAACACAUUUAAAAGACAAAACAAAAACAAAACAAAGCCCUGACAACUCCACUUGACCAGAACAGCUUCAGCGAGACGCGCCGACCUCUCCGGGAAGCGCGAGCGCGCGCGUGUCUGCGUCUCUGUGCGGAUCUGGGCCUGCCGUGCGCGUGUGUGCAAAGGUGAAACGGCGGCGGAGUUUCAAACAUUUCAUCUUCGAACCAUCUCCUGUUGAGGAACUAAGGCUGCCAGGUCGUUGCUGAUUUUGAAGAGGGUCUCUUUCAACUGCGAUCCCUUUAAGGAACUCGGCUCUGUCCAUUUCCAAGGAAUGUCCCUUUUCCUCACUCUCCAGACGCUGCAGGCUCCCCGCGCUGCGCUCCCUCCCAGGCUGGAGCCGCAGCUGGCGGGACGCGCCGUUUCCACGGAAAACAUUUAGGCCUCGGAAGCGUCUUUGAGAGCCUAGAAAUGCCGGUUGAGCGUGAAAUCCAGUCCAACCUACUCACAGAGUACUAGACCUAGAAACGACGUUUGAAAGAGAUGUGGGUUCCAUGUUGACUUAAAUUUUGUUCCAUUUAUAACAACGCUUUUGUUUUCAAAGAAAAGAAAAAUUUCUUAGCCAAACUUCUCAUGUCCCCGGCCCCCUGUUCCUGCCUCGCUCUCUCCCUCGACAAACGCGGGGAGCCCUGGAACGGGAGGGCCGGUGACCGCGAAUACGGUAGCGAUGUGAUUUGAUGCACUGAAACUACUUACAUUUCCAAUGUUACUUCAUUAAAGGAAACCCACAUAAAAGCGUCUGUUUCAUCUUAAUUGCCAAAAAAGUUUGCCACACCCCCGAACGGUAACUGUUUCCCCGCCAGACACCGAAAGCUCAUAAGGAACCACAAUGAGAAAGGAUCAGGAG
rnacentral:lncRNA from 10 species